CGAGGAGUUGGAACCUGCUGCUUUCCGAGCUCCCAGUAUCUGCACCACGGAGCUUCUCCUCCCCAGUGACAGUCUCUAGAGAGGUAAAUCAGCUCUUGUAAUGUUGCACCUCCUUCCAGUUACAGGUAGAAAAUGACUUUUUGUAUUUCUAUGUAAGAAAAAUCCAAAGUAAUUAGAAAAUCUCUCCAAUUUCAUGUUCGAUUUAUUGAAUUAGGCUACAUGGGAAAUUGUCUGAGCCCCGCUCACUGGCACAGCAAGUGUCUUGUAUCUGUGCCCACACUGAGAAUGUAUUUUGCAGGAAAUCCUUUGACAGCUGAGUCUGCUUUCUGGUGCUUGAUGCCUAAUACGUGUGUUCCUUAAGACGGAUCCAACUUUUAAGAAGAUAGGAAGCAAAAGGAGCCAGCUGAACACCUUGCUCUAGGAUUCAGACAGGAGGAAACAAACAACAGAUCUCUUGGUUGAAUUUUCCUUAGUUUCUGCCUGAUCUCCACACUACCUGUGAAGCGUGGGCCAGGCUCUGUUCUUGGAAAUGCUUCACGCAGAAGUCUUGGCGAUGAAGGAGGUCACAGCUUUUGUUUCCUUAGAGGACACCAUUAAGGCAUCAGAGAUUUGAAAUAGUUUUUGAAUUAUUACUGUCAGGAGAGGAAGCUUUUGUAGCUCUUCUCAGACCUGGAGGACGCAGGCCUCUGCUGGGUGUUGUUCACAGCUGUUUUUAGUAGCACCGAGAAGCUAACAGGGCAGCAGUUGGAAUGGCAGUGAAAAGCUCUCACUUCACGGGUGGCUGGGGCUGGGUGUCCGGGCAGCACCGGGAUGGGGCAGAGUCACCCCCAGCUCUGCCUGUCGUGCAGGGCCUCCCAGAAGUCGCGGUGGUUCAUCGAGCCUCACAGACCUGCAGACCAGGGCCAGGUUCCACCCAGUGUCUGUGGAAGAUACCUGUCAUUUAUUCAUUUCUCCAGUUGCAGAAUACGGAGAUCUUUCUAAGGCAGCUGUUCGGUGUCCAAAGCUGAGUUCUGGGUUUCUGUUAGUGUUUGCCAUAUUUCUUCUGCCUGCUCCAGAUUUCUCCUAAUUGAGUCAGCGCUGGCUUCGCUACAUUUUAUUAUGCUCAUUUAUUGCAACUACUACCUAUCAAAUUAAUUGCGGUGUUUUGACAGGCCCAAUUUACCUUCCCGUUACAGCCGCUACUGCUGUCGAUGAAGCGCGGCUGCAUGGGUGAGCAGGCUCUAUUUAAAAGCCUGUCCUGCUUCCAGCCUUCCCCAGAGUGAGUUGUCACCACCCGUAGGGCCUUGGUGACCACGUAGGGCAGGAACAAGACAGGAGGGAGGAGUGGUUAAAAUGUGGCUGAUGGGUCUCAGGCCAGGAGUAGCUUCUCCUGAAGCAGUACAGAGGUACCUGCCUCACGGGGGCUUUGUGCUGAGAAGGUCCUGGGGCUUGCUGACACAGGGCAGGUCAAAAAUACACUGCAAGGAUCCCACUAGGCCAGCCAGGGUUUCAGCAUCGUCUUUAACAAGGAAAUGGCCACAGGCUGUUUUUAAAUUUGUCAGGCGUCUCCACUUAAGACAGCGGCUGGUGCUCAGUGUCAGGCUCUCCUGUCCCCAGAUUUCAGGCAGGUAACACGUCGGUUCUGUCGGAACAGUCAAACCCAACCAAAAGCCACAUCAGCUUUCACUCUAAAGAGACAACUGUGCGUUGUGGAAGAGCUGUGCCCCGCGGAGCAGGUCGGGAUUGCCGGGGUCUGGCUGAGGACUGAGGCACGGGGUUUUCCUCUGGUCCGCCAGGAGAACCAGCCACCUGGAGCGUUCAGCAGUGGUGGGAGCUGGAGCGGAUUUGUUCCAGUGCUGCCAGUGCCCAUCCUCGUCUCUCCUUCGGGCUGCAAGUGAACUUGAGUGCUGCUCCAUCCUCUGUUUCACUCUGCUUCCUCAGCUCGUUAGGUGCAGAAAUACAAGCUCGUUUGCCUGCUGCCAUCAUCUCCGUGAUCACUUUCUUCCUUUGUCUCAUUGUUUUGCUCUCAGGGACAGAUUCCUCUUAAACACAUCUAUAUAUUUGCAUCCGUCUUUAAGGUAACUCAGUGUUUGUGUUUCCCCUAGGUGCUGUAGAAAUACGUGUCCUCCCCUCAGCCUGUGUGGUUUGUGCAGUAGUGAGAGCGUUUGGCUCCAUCCUUCCUUCCUGUAGGAGCAAUUUGACUGCGGUCGUUGUGUGUGUGUGACACUAAUGCUUGUGUGUACUUUUUCUUAGCGCUAUCUGUCGUUCUUUGGUGUCUCCUCCUCCUUUCGGGAGGGAGGGGUGAAAGAAGCAGGAAUCGGUUGGGUCUGAGCAGUCCUGCUCAAACCAUACCAGGAAGGAUUUGGGAAAGGCUGAGACUGAACCGUGGAGUUCGGGCUCAGGCUGAAUAGCUGGUGGUUUAGUGGAGGUGCUCUGCAGCUCCCCUGCGCUUCUCCCUGUGACAGCUCUGGGCCGACCAAAACCACUCGUUCUGUGACCAGCCGCCCAGCCUCAGCCAGGGCUUCUUACAAGAUCACUUUUCAGACCAGUGACAGAGACCUUUCUAUUAGCAGCCCAUCCAAUUAACUCUGUUAAAUAGCAAAGUGCCCUUCAACGUGAACUACAACAAACCAUU